AGGUUUCUGCUCGACAUGACAGGCUCGUACAAUCCCCGGGGCCGACGACAAAUCUCUAGGGAGCUGUCACUGACCAAAGUCGUGGCUUUGGAUACACGGCACCCACCUGCUUCUUUCAGCAGGUCGCGGAGGAAAACAGCCACCGGUUGCAGCGGGACCUUC
rnacentral:other from 1 species